GCAAACCCAGCAUAUUGUGUAAUAUUUAUAUUAUCCUAGGUCUUAUUUGAUACGGGGAAAAAAAAUUCUGAUUAAGUUUUUGUCCACACUCAGCAGUAUGGAGCAGCACCAGAGAAAUAAUUUAAUAAUACCUAAUUCAGAAAAGUCAGACUGAUUAAUAGUUUUUACCCACUUUCUUAGUUACCUGCCUCUCUUUCCCCUCUUCUUCUGCUCACUAUUUUACGCUCUGAAAGGUGAGGUGUGCGUCUUUUCUGGAGGAUAAAAGCUGUCUUCUGCCCACAACCAAGUGUGUUGAGUAUUUCAGGACAGCCAGAAGGCUGAAAUUCACAAAGGGAACAACUCAGAAUAUUCAAAAACACUUUGGUAUAAUCUUUUUCUGAACCAGCUUACUGGCAAUUGACUUAACUGGAAACUAAGAAAUCUGCUGAUAAGGAAUUUAGUCAAAUCUGCUAAAAAAAAAAUAAAUCUGAGUUCUUGCUGUAAAACAGCUGUCAGUCAUGGAUUUUUAUGUCCUAUUUCCAAGGCUCUCUGCAUAAACUCUGGAGCCUGCACUCUCCAGGGUUAGGCAGUAUAUAGAGCACAAUGAGACCUCUCAGCUUGGCUUGAAGAUUUUAAUUCUGAGAUUCAAACUCAUUUAAUGAAGAUGAAAUACACAUCAAAUCUUUUAAUAAGCCUUCAGUACACACAACAUGAUCACAGCCUGCAAAGCUGGUUGGUCAGUGACCUAGCUAAGCAACGGACAAAUUUGAUGUUGAUUUAAUUCUGCAAACACCACCCGCAAUAAUUUGACAUGGAAAGAUUUACAGCCUUGAAAAAGUCAUUAGAAAGGCUGCUCUGCGGUCGGUAAAGACUGAAGGCUCCACCAACGUGGAGCUCUGAAUAAGGGGUGAAUUCCCACCCAACUGGAUGGCAGCUUUAGAGUUAUGUUGGCCUAUUUCUGUGUAAGCAGAGCACCCGAGUUAACUCCAACCAAGUCAAUGUAGUUCUACUGAUAAAGAGCAGGCCCUAAAAUUUCCUAUAAAGCAACUGUUUCCAGGUAAUACAAGAGAUGUGGCAGCAAAAUUUACAUAACAGUUACUUAGCAUCAUGCAUUAAGCAGACCAGUAGUGUAUUUCAUAACACAUCCAAUCUGUUGCUAGUAACAACUGUUUUUUUUAAUGAAGUAAGACAUCUUUUUAGGAACAAUCUCAACUUAACCUUAGUGGAAGAAGGUUAAUUUCCUCUUAACACUAGGCUCUUUGCAAUAGAUUUAUAUCAGUUAGCAUUCCUACUUCAUGUUUGUUCCAUGCAGAGGAAUGGGGUGGGGGGAGUUUUUCCUUUUCUACUAAAUAAAAAAAUAUGCAGAGAGAGGUUGAAUAUCACACAUCUGGCACAGUGCAGGAAAAGAAAUGCAACAUGACUGUGGUAAAAACAACAGAUAAUACUGAGGGUGUAAGAGAUGUUUCAUGGAAAAGGCACAUUAAAAGUCUGAAUGGUCUUCUUGAGUACUCUUUGAAUCACAGUUCUGAGUAUCAAUGUGGGUGAAAUUAAAAGGGGGUUCAUUUGAAGCAUAAAGAGGCUUUAUACAUGUACUGGUUCAUUGGCUCUUUUACAGAAAAAUCUAAUCAUAUACUUGAAUAUAAAAAAAAUACCCCAAUUGGACUGAUUAUUUUGUUUCUACAGAACAUCCAACAUUACAACAGUUAUCAAAAUCAUUAUGAGACAGAAACACUUCAAGCGAUACAGAUUGUCUUCCUUGUGACUAUGGCAACAUAUGCUGUAGGAUAGUAUUCACACAGUCUUCUUUAGGCAUCUAAAUUUGGGUGUCUAUGCUAUAAACCUAGUUUUCUUGUGAAACUGGUUUAGAAAUGCAGACCUCUAGUUUGAUUUCUUCUGCAAAAGUACCUUUUAACUGACUACCUCCACAAGAAACAUAUUUUCCUAGUUUAGCUCCUAAACUCAGCUACACAGUAAAGUAUGAAUACCCUUUCCUGACUGACUUUUGCUUUGUCUGGCAUUCCUGUUUGAUUCAGUUAUUGCACUUAUUUUACUCCCUGUAAUUGAUUAUCAAGGUAUACAUAGCACAAACACAAGCCUUUAAAGUUUUAAGAAGAUCCACUCUAGUCAUUUCAUCAUUCUUAUCCAAAUUAACAAUACUGUGCACAUCAGUUCAUCUCUCCUCACUUUGACAGCCCACCCAACAAUAUGCUGAGUGCCCUAAACCCCUGCUGAAGUCAAUUCUGCAACAAGCAAAAUUGCUGUAGACAUGCUCCUGCUACUGCUGUAAACACUGCUAAUGGCAGUAACCCCUCUUCUCUUUGCUAACAAUCCUAUUUGGCUAACUUCUUCAUCAAAAGCCUAUGGUAAGAAUCCUUAAAUGCUUAACUAUGAACUGACUUUCAUCAAUGAACAUGUUCACUACAAUGAUUUUUCUGAGACCUGGAACACCUCCAUCUGCCACCAGUUCCCAGCCCACUCUGCCAUCUAGCAUUAUAGGAGUGCAGGGACUGCUCCUUCUCAUACUCUUUCCCUUCUUGCCCUUAGCCACCAUAAAGACAAUGAGAAGCUGAGAGCAGCCGUUAAUAAGGAAGAAGAUUCUUUAUCCCAGCAAUUACUGCUGCCUUCUUUCAACAGCAGCAUAACAAGACCAGGGAACACCCACAUCCCCACCUCUAUCACUGAAGCUGGUCCUCUUAUAGUCAGUGCUGUUCACAAAGGACCAAACUGUUUUUGGGAACUGUAACUGGAAGAAAAUAAUACUCAGGAUUAUAGAACUUUGCUGAACAUACCUCUUCCUGCAGUCCUAAUUUUUUUGUUUGAAUCUUUCUCCUUGGCAACAGAGAUAGGGUUGCAGACGGUGAACACACUUGAUAGAACAUCUUUCAUCAUUCACAUUUAACCAGUAUAUUGCCACUUCUUUAAGAGUCAAGAGAUGCAUUACUUCCCUAGUGUCAGUAACAAUGUUUGCCAUUCAUUUUAUUCAGAAGCAAUUGCAACUGAUGAAGAAGAUACAGAAACCUACAGAUAAGGCUUACAUGAAAGGCCUUAUCUUUUAGUCAAGGCCCAAGUUCCUUUGAUGGUAUAAUAGAAUAUUUUUUGGCAAUCUGCACUUUAGUUCCAUCAACCCAAAGGAUAAAGUAUAAGCUUCAUUCUUUUACUUGAGACUAGCAAUAAUAAAGGUCAUGCAGAGCAAAGCUUGUAUAUUUUUACAGGAAUGCUCAAUGCUUGGACAAUCCUCUUCUGUUUCCCUGUCACAAAGGUUAAUGCCCCUCAUUAAUCUAUAUAUGCAUUUAUGUGUGUUCAUCAUCACGGUACCUGAACAUAGUAUUAAAUCAAAAACAUAAAUAGUGCAGCUUCCUGUGGUGUAGCUAACCCAUGCCUGAGUUGGUGAGAAAAGCCACUGAGUUAAAGCCAUGUUCUGCUUAUGUCUGCGAGCUAUUUUCCUCAGCUAUGUUUAUUAUUUUACUGUCUGCAUUACAGCAUUCCCUGUGCAGACUUGCUUAGUGUCAUACAACCUCACAUCGUACAUCAACUUGAAGGUUCCACCUCACCUCAUAAAGUUCUCAUUUUCACAUCAAAUUUUGUAACAGAGUGCUACAAACAUCCCACAUCCCAGCCUGAGUUUCUCUCAUUCAGAGAGACUCCUGCACAAAAGGAGUAUUUGGCGCAUUGCACAUGCAAGGUAUGCAAUCACACCUACCUCUCUAUUUUCACUCUCUACAGAGUGUCAGCUUCCCAGCUUCUCCCCUUCCUUUGCCUUCUACUGCAGUGCCAAAGCCUACACAAUAUCAAGGGGAAAGAGACCAUUUUUCCACUAACUAACACCAGUUUUUUCUCAGAAUAUUCAAAGAUUCAACACAGAAGGAAAUCCUCAUGCAGAAAGUGAACUUCCUCUGUAAGCCAUCUGAUCUGAUCCAGUUUCACUGAGACUUGAUAUUACAAAUCAAGUCAAAACUACAAUACAAAUCCUCUUUGCUCUAGGGAUGAAACUUGCAUAAACAGUAUUACAGAUGUCACAUGAAUUUGAAAAUGUCCCUAGAGGAAACUAAGACCCAGUUUCCAGAAUUUGUCUUAAUUUUUUUUCCCUCUGUACUGUUCAGGGUAUCAUCUAAAUUUACCUACCAUAAUUAAAACAUUCAAAACUACAUCUUUUCCAAGAUAGAAAAACACAGUUCUAGCAUAUCAGCAGUGAAAUAGACCUAACAGGGACUUUGUUCAGAGGUAACUGUUUACAUAACAAUCUGGGUUACUUAAAAGAUUUAGGAAUCUGCUAAAGGAUGACAGCUGCAAAUACUGAAGAAGGUCCUGAAGCUGGGAUUUUUAUCGAUCUGCAAUACAAAGGCAUAAAUUAACGAAAGCACUCUGCCAACUGGCCUUGAAGUCGUUACACUAGUAAACACAACAAUGAGAAUUUGUUUCUUCCAUUCAAUGUAUCUGUACUUCUUUAUGUUUCCAAGUGUUAUAUUGUAUAAUUACCAAGAUGUUUAAAGUUUUAUUGCUAGAACAUAAACUCUUGAAGUUAGCUGACACUUAUCCUCAUUUUAAGGACACCAGUUCUUGUUUUCCCUAUCUGAUUCUUUUUAUAAUCUGGCCAGCUAUAGGAAAUACAUCUUUUUUGACUCUCCUUCAAUCCCUGUUUUGUUGUUUGUCAUUCCUACUCUGUCUCACUUUUCCAUGAAUCAUUGCAGUGAAAUUAUACAACUGGCUAACCUACUUGUCAUAAUGCUACAACUUUUCCAAUGCAAAGUAGGAGCUAAAACGGUUACAAAGCAAUGGAAAGAGAAAAUGAGUCUUAGACAAAUUAAGAGAUUAAAAUUCAUGCUAAGUUUUGUGUAUUUUGGUGAUUACAUCACUUUAUUCGCAAGUAACACUUAAAAAUACCAAGUGUCUAUGAAUGAUUCAUGGAGACAGAGCAGUAAAAGGACUAAUUCCACUUAUUUCGACAAGAGCAAAAGAAAAAGAGUGGACCAACAGUUAUGGAGAGGCUUGGCUUUAACACAUGUCCAUUCCAAACUGCCUUUUUUUUUUUUAACCUAGAAACUCAACUCUUUGUCUUUUGUACGUAGAAUGCAUACUUGCUUCUCAAAAUACUCUGAUAAAUCAGAUUUGAAAUCUUUUUAUAAUAUCUGCUCUUCACAGCCACUGUUGCUUCCCAGAAAGAAGGGGAUGAGAAAGAUGAGUACAAGGGUCAGGAGUACCUGAUGCAAGUUGUUCAGCUAAUAUGUCAACAUCUAUAGCCUAUCUACUUCUUGCUGAACCCAGGACUGCUCUUUGAUAAAAAUGUAGGAGAGGAGUUUCAGCAGGGAAUACCUGCAUGUGUCUUAUACACCUUCUUAUUUUCAGGAUGAUACGGUGUACCAGUCAGCACUACUCCAAGCUACAUUCAUGUCUCACUGCUUCCCAGGUACACAGGAUGCAAGUAUGUCAUCUUUUCCAGGAAAACAUAAUUCAGAGAAGAAUGUCAUAGGUAAUCCUGGCUUACUCACUAAGCUAUACUAACUCCAUGCUCAGGGGCAAUGUAUUUACACACAUUUUACCAAGAGGUCUAGCAUGUGGGGAUUCUUAAUCUGUACUAAAUUAUCACAUAAUUUUUUUAUCUGUCUCUAUUUCCUUAACAAACUUGGCUUGCUCUUUUUCAGCCUCCAUAAUUACCAAGUACUACGAUACCAUGGUGAUGGGAAAAAACAGACACUGAAAAAGACAGAUUCUGUUCUUUUUAACUGAAAUGCAAAUUCCCUGUUUCACACAGGAAAUUUUAAUCAGAAUGACCACACAGACAAAAUCUUCCCAAAGGAAAACUGCGUGCUGAAGGUAGAAAGCAAAGAAAAGAAUGUUUCCAAGAAGCCAUGAAGAUGCUGACAUGCAAGAUGUAGGAGGAACAAACUCAGAAAAACACUACAGGAGAACACAGGUGAUGCACCAGACCAUUUGCCCAACACAUGCGAUAAACUAAGGUUUGAUGAGCCAUCAGACAGUAUCACUCAUUGCAACCCACAGCAGAAUUUCAGAGCUGUUGUGCCACUGGAGUCCUGUUAGCAAUUGACAAGGUUGCUGUUAUCUCUUGGGAAGUCUGUUUUCAGUGGAGCUCAGGUCUACAAUCCUGGACAACAGAACCAAAAAGCACAGUCCUCCCACAAAAAUGAUACCAUUACUUUCAUGAAGAAACACAGUCAAAAAAAAACAAACAAAGGUUUUGUCCAAGAUUCAUUUACACAUUGUUUUUUUCACAACCUUUUUUAUUUCACAUGCUUUAGUUUUAGUAUGUGGCACAAUAAAUAUUUCAAGAAACCUACAAUGACUAAGCAUUUGGUGGGUCAAAUACCAGACGUUUUUCUUCAGUUCACACAGAUUCACAAAUGACUCCCCUGGGAAUGCAGGUUAAGUGAAGACAACAGGAUUCCUAAAAUAGUUUAUAUUUUCCUGGAGCAAACUGCUAACUUUUAUUUGCAACCUGUUUUCUGAAGGUCCUCAAAGGUCAGCACACUUCCAAGAUGUCCUUUUCCACCAAUACAGAAAUAGGUCUUACUUAGCCCUCAACACAAUGUGACCACUUGCCUUAUUCUCUACCUACUCUACCGUACCUCUGGCCUUCCAGAAGAACAAGCCAAACCUGAUUCCACAACACGUUUACAGAGAUCCCAAUUUAAUGUAUUUACAAGACAGUUUUCCAAAGCUCCAAAUGAAAAAAAAUAAAAAGUUACCCUUACUCUUCAAGAUAUUUUAUAAUUGUUAUUAAUACUAUAGCUUCAGCUAUUCAAACCAUUCAGAGCAUUUAGAAAACAGGAAUAUUGUAUUUUGCAUAGUACAGCAUGCCCAUGCCUGCCAAGUGCUGAGUUCCUUCAGUGAAGCACAGAAUUGACUGGUCACAGGGACCAACUGACCAAGCCAACCCACCCAAGGCAGGGACGCAGCAAAAUGACCAAACUACAACAGCCUGUUACUUUGUCACCGACUUUAGCCACACCAUCAAAGCUCCCAAGUAUUUGGAUAGCUUCUGAGCAGAAGCCCAGGGACAGCAGUCAAUCUAGAUAAGACGGGUUUUCAUCAUGCUGCUCAUUAACGCAGAGAUCAAUGUAGACACCCCUUGAGGCAAGUCCACACAAAGAUAAGCCUUAAAUGUCAGAAAUGCAGAACUCACCCAGCUCCUUUUCCAUAAGCUCUGUCGCAACAGUUGGCUUCUGACAGCAACGUCCUGUUGCCCAUCAUCAGGCUUGCGUUCUUCAGGGCAGCCAAGCCACCCAACUGUGCAUGGUACUGUAUGGGGAGUACCUGAGGUGGAGGAGCCUCAGCUGCAGAGUUUAUUCUUUCAUGCUGGUCAGACUUCCAUUUUGAAGAUACCAUGUCAUUUGGAUACUUUUUUAAAAUUUCUUUAUUUUACUUAGGGACUCAAGAAAUAAGUAGGAGAUGGCAGUUCUCUCAACUGGCUUGUUGACAACUUCCUUUUAAAAGCUUUAAUCAUAUGCACCCAGACAACAGAAUAACAGUGCGAUAUUAAAAAAGGACCAUCUAAGGGUGUUCUUUUCCCUCUGAAUAGCAGCAGAAAUACUUUCUCUGUAUGAGGAUAGCUCAUUAGGCACUAUGGGUGUGUUGAAGAUUUAAAAAGCUUUAGAACAUUAUUUGUGUUCUUGUGAACUUUCACAAGAAAUAUUUCACAAAAGAAAUUAUUCCAGGAACAGAUAACUUCCUGCGAAGCAAAAUAAUGGAACAAAAGAAUCUCCAGUUUCCAUGGGAAUGUGAUCCAGGCAUUAAAACAGAAGUGUGCCGAGCUCAAGAUGCCAGCAUGUGAAGCUUGUCAAGUGAUCAUUUUCACAUAUUUAGGAACCGUCUCAUAAAAUAUGCAUUAAAUACAACUUGUCUGUCCAUUAAAUCCUUUUGACAUUUGAGUGGUUAUCAUUGAACCAUACCUUCUCGUACAAAUUUUAACCUAACUUCACUUACGUGUAAUAUUUCUAUGAAAGUCAACGCAAUCCAUCAGUCUCUCAGAGGUUCUACUUUAAAAUAGCAAGUCUUUGCUGCUGAAUUGCUUUGGACUAGACCUGGCAUCUCUAAUUUUACUGCUUGAUGCAAAGAUCAGAUAGUUAUAUUCAAACCCGACCAAAUUAUAUUAAAGUAUGUUUGUGUGCGACUACUGCUACUUGAAGAGACAAGAUCUGUGCUUGCUGGUUAUAAAUAACCAGACAUUCCCUAACCUUCAGCUGGAGGUAGGUCAAAGCUACAGCACUCCAGCACUGACAGUAAUAUAUAUGAAGUGAGAAAAACAGAGCAAGGACUUAAUGGUCAAAUUCUAUGUUGUAACCCGGUAUAUUAGAAGCAAGUAACAGCAAGUUUAAUAGCGUUAUGUGCCAUGUAAAACCCUAUUAUCCUCAGGCAAGUAGGGAAAGCUUUUGAAAAGCAGCUAAUGGUUUUGGAUGGCUCAUAUAUUGCAAGCCUACAGAAGGAAUCUGAAAGAGGCUCAAUUUUCAGAAUAUAAAUACUUAAAAUGUCCUGAAAGAUGUCCCAAUUUGCCAGUCAAAAUUUGGUCUACCAGUCACAAAUUCUGCGGCUCAGCAGUGGAGCGGCUAGGUAAUCACUAGCACUCUUAGUCUUAUAAGGAAUCACAGUCCAGGGAUGACACCAGUAAUUGAUACUUUUCAGUGCAGUUCUCUUUUGUCUCUCGUUAAAGUAUACAGUUUCCAAAAUCUAGAAUUUUCCCAAAAUACGCAAAUAGCAAAAAGUUAAGUCACAUAAAUUUCACAGACCACCUAAUUUUUUCAUCCAUUGAUCGUCUUCAUUCUUCUUCCAAAUAAUUCAUCAUGCACGGCAAGACGUAUAAACAAGGGUCAAAUUGUUUGCAGUAAUCAAGAGACAAUUACA